AGAGUUUGAUCCUGGCUCAGGAUGAACGCUGGCGGCGUGCCUAACACAUGCAAGUCGAACGGAACUUACAAGCGGAAGUUUUCGGAUGGAAGCUUAUAAGUUUAGUGGCGGACGGGUGAGUAACGCGUGAGCAAUCUACCUCUCAGUGGGGGAUAACACAUCGAAAGGUGUGCUAAUACCGCAUAAUAUAACGGGAUCGCAUGGUUCUGUUAUCAAAGAUUUAUUGCUGAGAGAUGAGCUCGCGUCUGAUUAGAUAGUUGGUGAGGUAACGGCUCACCAAGUCGACGAUCAGUAGCCGGACUGAGAGGUUGAACGGCCACAUUGGGACUGAGACACGGCCCAGACUCCUACGGGAGGCAGCAGUGGGGAAUAUUGCACGAUGGGGGAAACCCUGAUGCAGCAACGCCGCGUGAAGGAUGAAGGUUUUCGGAUUGUAAACUUCUUUUGUACGGGACGAAACAAAUGACGGUACCGUAAGAAUAAGCCACGGCUAACUACGUGCCAGCAGCCCGCGGUAAUACGUAGGUGGCAAGCGUUAUCCGGAUUUACUGGGUGUAAAGGGAGAGUAGGCGGGACUGCAAGUCAGAUGUGAAAACUAUGGGCUUAACCCAUAGACUGCAUUUGAAACUGUGGUUCUUGAGUGAUGGAGAGGCAGGCGGAAUUCCCGGUGUAGCGGUGGAAUGCGUAGAUAUCGGGAGGAACACCAGUGGCGAAGGCGGCCUGCUGGACAUUAACUGACGCUGAGGCGCGAAAGUGUGGGGAGCAAACAGGAUUAGAUACCCUGGUAGUCCACACUGUAAACGAUGGAUACUAGGUGUGGGGGGUACUGACCCCCUCCGUGCCGGAGUUAACACAAUAAGUAUCCCACCUGGGGAGUACGAUCGCAAGGUUGAAACUCAAAGGAAUUGACGGGGGCCCGCACAAGCAGUGGAGUAUGUGGUUUAAUUCGAAGCAACGCGAAGAACCUUACCAGGGCUUGACAUGGUACUAACGAAGUAGAGAUACAUUAGAUGCCCUUCGGGGAAAGUACACACAGGUGGUGCAUGGUUGUCGUCAGCUCGUGUCGUGAGAUGUUGGGUUAAGUCCCGCAACGAGCGCAACCCUUAUUGUUAGUUGCUACGCAAGAGCACUCUAGCGAGACUGCCGUUGACAAAACGGAGGAAGGUGGGGACGACGUCAAAUCAUCAUGCCCUUUAUGUCCUGGGCUACACACGUACUACAAUGGCGGUCAUACAGAGGGAAGCAAGACAGCGAUGUGGAGCAAACCCCUAAAAGCCGCCUCAGUUCAGAUUGCAGGCUGCAACUCGCCUGCAUGAAGUCGGAAUUGCUAGUAAUCGCGGAUCAGCAUGCCGCGGUGAAUAUGUUCCCGGGCCUUGUACACACCGCCCGUCACACCAUGAGAGCCGAUAAUACCCGAAGUCCAUAGUCUAACCGCAAGGAGGGCGUGGCCGAAGGUAGGAUUGGUAAUUGGGGUGAAGUCGUAACAAGGUAACC
rnacentral:rRNA from 1 species